rnacentral:lncRNA from 1 species
UCUUUUGCAAAUAGGUUUCCGACAGAAUUUCAUGGUGUCUGGACACUUUGUAUAUAUGUGUUGGAGGUUGAGCUCAAGUGUAUAAAUGCGGGAUUGUCCCUUCUUCCUUUAUUUAGACGUGCAAGUGUUUGUAUAAAUGUAUGCGUGUGUAAGUAUAAUUGUGUGAAUGUCCAACAUAUCUGGAAUUGAUGAGGCGGUUAAUUGAAGAUAUGAAGGAAAACAGUGAG